UACGAAGGGGACUAGCGUUGUUCGGAAUUACUGGGCGUAAAGCGCACGUAGGCGGAUUUGUUAGUCAGGGGUGAAAUCCCGGGGCUCAACCUCGGAACUGCCUUUGAUACUGCAAGUCUCGAGUCCGAUAGAGGUGGGUGGAAUUCCUAGUGUAGAGGUGAAAUUCGUAGAUAUUAGGAAGAACACCGGUGGCGAAGGCGGCCCACUGGAUCGGUACUGACGCUGAGGAGCGAAAGCGUGGGGAGCGAACAGG
rnacentral:rRNA from 1 species